rnacentral:rRNA from 1 species
UCAAGCGAACAAGUGCAUGUGGUGGAUGCCUUGGCGAUCACAGGCGAUGAAGGACGCGGUAGCCUGCGAAAAGCCCCGGGGAGCUGGCAAACAAGCUUUGAUCCGGGGAUGUCCGAAUGGGGAAACCCACUCCGUAUGGAGUAUCCAUGACUGAAUACAUAGGUCAUGUGAAGCGAACGCGGUGAACUGAAACAUCUAAGUAACCGCAGGAAAAGAAAUCAACCGAGAUUCCCAAAGUAGUGGCGAGCGAAAUGGGAUGAGCCUUGUACUCUUUAUUCGUAUUGUUAGCCGAACGCUCUGGAAAGUGCGGCCAUAGCAGGUGAUAGCCCUGUAGGCGAAAACAGUAUGAAAGAACUAGGUGUACGACAAGUAGGGCGGGACACGUGAAAUCCUGUCUGAAGAUGGGGGGACCAUCCUCCAAGGCUAAAUACUCGUGAUCGACCGAUAGUGAACCAGUACCGUGAGGGAAAGGCGAAAAGAACCCCGGGAGGGGAGUGAAAUAGAUCCUGAAACCGCAUGCAUACAAACAGUCGGAGCCUCGUAAGGGGUGACGGCGUACCUUUUGUAUAAUGGGUCAGCGACUUACGUUCAGUAGCAAGCUUAACCGUAUAGGGCAGGCGUAGCGAAAGCGAGUCCGAAUAGGGCGUUCAGUUGCUGGGCGUAGACCCGAAACCAGGUGAUCUAUCCAUGGCCAGGAUGAAGGUGCGGUAACACGUACUGGAGGUCCGAACCCACUAACGUUGAAAAGUUAGGGGAUGAGCUGUGGAUAGGGGUGAAAGGCUAAACAAACCUGGAAAUAGCUGGUUCUCUCCGAAAACUAUUUAGGUAGUGCCUCGUGUCUCACCUUCGGGGGUAGAGCACUGUCAUGGUUGGGGGGUCUAUUGCAGAUUACCCCGCCAUAGCAAACUCCGAAUACCGAAGAGUGCAAUCACGGGAGACAGACAUCGGGUGCUAACGUCCGGUGUCAAGAGGGAAACAACCCAGACCGCCAGCUAAGGUCCCCAAAUAUGGCUAAGUGGGAAACGAAGUGGGAAGGCUAAAACAGUCAGGAGGUUGGCUUAGAAGCAGCCACCCUUUAAAGAAAGCGUAAUAGCUCACUGAUCGAGUCGUCCUGCGCGGAAGAUGUAACGGGGCUAAGCCAUAUACCGAAGCUGCGGAUGCGUGCUUGCACGCAUGGUAGGAGAGCGUUCCGUAAGCCUGCGAAGGUGCCUUGUAAAGGGUGCUGGAGGUAUCGGAAGUGCGAAUGCUGACAUGAGUAGCGAUAAAGGGGGUGAAAGGCCCCCUCGCCGUAAGCCCAAGGUUUCCUACGCAACGUUCAUCGGCGUAGGGUGAGUCGGCCCCUAAGGCGAGGCAGAAAUGCGUAGCUGAUGGGAAGCAGGUCAAUAUUCCUGCACCAUUGUUAGAUGCGAUGGGGGGACGGAUCGCGGAAGGUUGUCCGGGUGUUGGACGUCCCGGUCGCUGCAUUGGAGAAGGCGCUUAGGCAAAUCCGGGCGCGGAAUUCAAGGGUGUGGCGCGAGCUCCUUAGGGAGCGAAGCAAUUGGAAGUGGUUCCAAGAAAAGCCUCUAAGCUUCAGUCUAACGAUGACCGUACCGCAAACCGACACAGGUGGGCGAGAUGAGUAUUCUAAGGCGCUUGAGAGAACUCGGGAGAAGGAACUCGGCAAAUUGGUACCGUAACUUCGGGAUAAGGUACGCCCUUGUAGCUUGACUGGCCUGCGCCAGGAGGGUGAAGGGGUUGCAAUAAACUGGUGGCUGCGACUGUUUAAUAAAAACACAGCACUCUGCAAACACGAAAGUGGACGUAUAGGGUGUGACGCCUGCCCGGUGCCGGAAGAUUAAAUGAUGGGGUGCAAGCUCUUGAUUGAAGUCCCGGUAAACGGCGGCCGUAACUAUAACGGUCCUAAGGUAGCGAAAUUCCUUGUCGGGUAAGUUCCGACCUGCACGAAUGGCGUAACGAUGGCCACACUGUCUCCUCCCGAGACUCAGCGAAGUUGAAGUGUUUGUGAUGAUGCAAUCUACCCGCGGCUAGACGGAAAGACCCCAUGAACCUUUACUGUAGCUUUGCAUUGGACUUUGAACCGAUCUGUGUAGGAUAGGUGGGAGGCUAUGAAACCGGAACGCUAGUUUCGGUGGAGCCGUCCUUGAAAUACCACCCUGGUUUGUUUGAGGUUCUAACCUUGGUCCGUGAUCCGGAUCGGGGACAGUGCAUGGUAGGCAGUUUGACUGGGGCGGUCUCCUCCCAAAGGGUAACGGAGGAGUACGAAGGUACGCUAGGUACGGUCGGAAAUCGUGCUGAUAGUGCAAUGGCAUAAGCGUGCUUAACUGCGAGACCGACAAGUCGAGCAGGUGCGAAAGCAGGUCAUAGUGAUCCGGUGGUUCUGUAUGGAAGGGCCAUCGCUCAACGGAUAAAAGGUACUCUGGGGAUAACAGGCUGAUACCGCCCAAGAGUUCAUAUCGACGGCGGUGUUUGGCACCUCGAUGUCGGCUCAUCUCAUCCUGGGGCUGUAGCCGGUCCCAAGGGUAUGGCUGUUCGCCAUUUAAAGAGGUACGUGAGCUGGGUUUAAAACGUCGUGAGACAGUUUGGUCCCUAUCUGCCGUGGGCGUUGGAUAUUUGAAGGGGGCUGCUCCUAGUACGAGAGGACCGGAGUGGACGAACCUCUGGUGUACCGGUUGUGACGCCAGUCGCAUCGCCGGGUAGCUAUGUUCGGAAGAGAUAACCGCUGAAAGCAUCUAAGCGGGAAACUCGCCUUAAGAUGAGAUAUCCCUGGAGGCUUGACCUCCUUGAAGGGUCGUUCGAGACCAGGACGUUGAUAGGUCGGGUGUGUAAGCGCAGUAAUGCGUUCAGCUAACCGAUACUAAUUGCCCGUAAGGCUUGAUCCU